GAUGAACGCUGGCGGCGUGCCUAAUACAUGCAAGUCGAGCGAACGGACGAGAAGCUUGCUUCUCUGAUGUUAGCGGCGGACGGGUGAGUAACACGUGGAUAACCUACCUAUAAGACUGGGAUAACUUCGGGAAACCGGAGCUAAUACCGGAUAAUAUUUUGAACCGCAUGGUUCAAAAGUGAAAGACGGUCUUGCUGUCACUUAUAGAUGGAUCCGCGCUGCAUUAGCUAGUUGGUAAGGUAACGGCUUACCAAGGCAACGAUGCAUAGCCGACCUGAGAGGCUGGUCGGCCACACUGGAACUGAGCCACGGUCCAGACUCCUACGGGAGGCAGCAGUAGGGAAUCUUCCGCAAUGGGCGAAAGCCUUACGGAGCAACGCCGCGUGAGUGAUGAAGGUCUUCGGAUCGUAAAGCUCUGUUAUUAGGGAAGAACAUAUGUGUAAGUAACUGUGCACAUCUUGACGGUACCUAAUCAGAAAGCCACGGCUAACUACGUG
rnacentral:rRNA from 1 species